rnacentral:rRNA from 1 species
UAUGUGAUCGUCUCUCGCAUAUCAAUAAGCGGAGGAAAAGAAACUAACAAGGAUUCCCCUAGUAACGGCGAGUGAAGCGGGAAGAGCUCAAAUUUGAAAUCUUAAAGGGUUUCCCUUUACGAAUUGUAGUUUAAAGAAGUGUUUUCUGUUGAGGUUUUGGUAAAAGUUCUUUGGAAUAGGACAUCAUAGAGGGUGAGAAUCCCGUAUUUGACCUUUACUUUCAACUUUGUGAUACACUUUCAAAGAGUCGGAUUGUUUGGGAAUGCAGUCCAAAAUGGGUGGUAAAUUUCAUCUAAAGCUAAAUAUUGGCGAGAGACCGAUAGCGAACAAGUACCGUGUGGGAAAGAUGAAAAGAACUUUGAAAAGAGAGUUAAACAGUACGUGAAAUUGUCAAAAGGGAAGCGUUUGACACCAGUGUUGUUUUUCUGAAAAUCAAUUAAAGAACUGUUUAUGCUAAGUUGUUUAGACUUUAUCAGCUAACUGUUUAGUUUUGAGCUUUUCUUUAAUGCACUUUUCAGUUAACAAGUCAACAUCAAUUUCUUUUGCUGUAAAAAAGCUUGAGGAAGGUGGCUUGAGAUUCGUCUUAAGUGUUUAUAGCCUCUUGCCUAUGCAGUCGGAGAGAUUGAGGUCUGCAGCGUAGAUCCUUCGGGGCUAAAUGCAUUUGUGCUAAGUUAUAGCAUUUUAUAGACAACUUGUUGACUAUGAUUUGUCUUGUAGCUUACUCGCUUAUGUUAUUUUACCUACGCUUAGGAUGUUGAGCGCAUGUCUCUCUCU